UGCAGUGGCAGUGUUUGCGCUGACUUUGUUCUUGAUGGUGUGACUGUAAAUAACGAUGUCUGCUGCAUGAAGACAUUCAUCUCCCUUUAGGAGUGAAACCGCUAAACCUGUCAAGAACACGCCUGAGACAUAUUUCAGCUCCGAAUCUAAAGAAAGAGAAACAGCUUUGCUGAAUGGACUGAAGGCUGUUUGAAAGCACAGCGCGCUGGACGCUGCUCCAUUCAGAAUAGUCAACAUGUUCCGACAUCCUGCCCUACAAAGAUGUUACGGAUUCCUAUUCCACGUCCUCUGUAAAUGACUAACAGGAAAGAACUGUGCGCCGACUGACCCAGAAAUGAGCGAGACUCAUCCACAGCGCGGGAGUGUAUCAGUUCCUCCGAGCAAUCCCACCGUCGUACCGGCCCCUCGCACGAGACGCUCAAUCAACUAUGCAUGACUUGCCCUUAAUAGGUUUCUUCACUGGAAAUUUGGAACGGUUGUUAGCUGCUCGACUGGUAUGGAACCACUUUGGUCCCUCGAGAAUGGAGCUAUACUAUAACAGUCUGCAAGAACAACUAUCACAUGGCCAUAGUCAUAAAAGCAAGAA